rnacentral:lncRNA from 1 species
GUUUUCGGUCCAGAGCCGGCCCCUGGCAAGGCAAAGACAUGUCCAGUGCUUGAGAGAUGCGCAUUCGGCUGUCGACUUCAGAACCAAGAAUCUCCUACCCGGUGUCGCGACACCUCUGAACUGCCGCUUUCCACCGCCAACCAGAAGCCCUAGGAAGCCGAAUAAACACGAUCUCCAAUAAACAUCUCUAAUGAGGGAGGAGGCCCGAGGAUGACGGGGUUUGAUUUAUGACUGGAGGAGAAGGUCCACUUCCCACUGCGAAGCGGGCAACUUGCUUGCCGCCCAGCUCCGGAGAAAGGAAACCGCGGAGGAGAGAACCAAGGCCCAGCAAAAGUCAAGCCCCUGAGCUACUUGGAGGCAGCCUUGGAUUUGGGAGCACCCAUCGCGAGCAGCAGAGAGGCGGCGCGGGGCCCGAGCCGGACGCAGGCCGGAGCCUAGGCGGUUACCUGGGAGCGGAGGGCGGGGAGGCAGCUCCCCUCCAGGACCUGGUCCAGCCCCCGGCCCCGGAUGGCCUGAGGUCUCCUCCGCUCCGUGGUCUGCCCUGGAGUCUGGACUGCGAGUAG